rnacentral:rRNA from 1 species
GACGAACGCUGGCGGCGUGCCUAAUACAUGCAAGUAGAACGCUGAAGAGAGGAGCUUGCUCUUCUUGGAUGAGUUGCGAACGGGUGAGUAACGCGUAGGUAACCUGCCUUGUAGCGGGGGAUAACUAUUGGAAACGAUAGCUAAUACCGCAUAACAAUGGAUGACACAUGUCAUUUAUUUGAAAGGGGCAAUUGCUCCACUACAAGAUGGACCUGCGUUGUAUUAGCUAGUAGGUGAGGUAACGGCUCACCUAGGCGACGAUACAUAGCCGACCUGAGAGGGUGAUCGGCCACACUGGGACUGAGACACGGCCCAGACUCCUACGGGAGGCAGCAGUAGGGAAUCUUCGGCAAUGGGGGCAACCCUGACCGAGCAACGCCGCGUGAGUGAAGAAGGUUUUCGGAUCGUAAAGCUCUGUUGUAAGUCAAGAACGAGUGUGAGAGUGGAAAGUUCACACUGUGACGGUAGCUUACCAGAAAGGGACGGCUAACUACGUGCCAGCAGCCGCGGUAAUACGUAGGUCCCGAGCGUUGUCCGGAUUUAUUGGGCGUAAAGCGAGCGCAGGCGGUUUGAUAAGUCUGAAGUUAAAGGCUGUGGCUCAACCAUAGUUCGCUUUGGAAACUGUCAAACUUGAGUGCAGAAGGGGAGAGUGGAAUUCCAUGUGUAGCGGUGAAAUGCGUAGAUAUAUGGAGGAACACCGGUGGCGAAAGCGGCUCUCUGGUCUGUAACUGACGCUGAGGCUCGAAAGCGUGGGGAGCGAACAGGAUUAGAUACCCUGGUAGUCCACGCCGUAAACGAUGAGUGCUAGGUGUUGGAUCCUUUCCGGGAUUCAGUGCCGCAGCUAACGCAUUAAGCACUCCGCCUGGGGAGUACGACCGCAAGGUUGAAACUCAAAGGAAUUGACGGGGGCCCGCACAAGCGGUGGAGCAUGUGGUUUAAUUCGAAGCAACGCGAAGAACCUUACCAGGUCUUGACAUCCCGAUGCUAUUUCUAGAGAUAGAAAGUUACUUCGGUACAUCGGUGACAGGUGGUGCAUGGUUGUCGUCAGCUCGUGUCGUGAGAUGUUGGGUUAAGUCCCGCAACGAGCGCAACCCCUAUUGUUAGUUGCCAUCAUUCAGUUGGGCACUCUAGCGAGACUGCCGGUAAUAAACCGGAGGAAGGUGGGGAUGACGUCAAAUCAUCAUGCCCCUUAUGACCUGGGCUACACACGUGCUACAAUGGUUGGUACAACGAGUUGCGAGUCGGUGACGGCAAGCUAAUCUCUCAAAGCCAAUCUCAGUUCGGAUUGUAGGCUGCAACUCGCCUACAUGAAGUCGGAAUCGCUAGUAAUCGCGGAUCAGCACGCCGCGGUGAAUACGUUCCCGGGCCU